AAUGAACGCUGGCGGCAGGCUUAACACAUGCAAGUCGAGCGAGCGGCGGACGGGUGAGUAAUGUCUGGGAAACUGCCUGAUGGUGGGGGAUCACUACUGGAAACGGUAUCUAAUACCGCACACCAUCAGAUGUGCCCAGAGGGGCUUAGCUAGUAGGUGGGGUAAUGGCUCACCUCGGCGACGAUCCCUAGCUGGUCUGAGAGUAUGACCAGCCACACUGGAACUGUGACACGGGCCAGACUCCUACGGGAGGCAGCAGUGGGGAAGAUUGCACAAUGGGCGCAAGCCUGAUGCAGCCAUGCCGCGUGUGUGAGGAAGGCCUUCGGGUUGUAAAGCACUUUCAGCGAGGAGGCGUUACUCGCAGAAGAAGCACCGGCUAACUCCGUGCCAGCAGCCGCGGUAAUUC
rnacentral:rRNA from 1 species